ensembl:lncRNA
CCGUCUCUCGAGGGUCGUGGAGCUGCACUGUCUGCUGUCCAAUGCCUGAAAAAAGCUGCUCCGUACAAACGUCUACAGGGGUUCAUGGUGGGAAGGGGGGUCUAGGUCCCUCACGCCACGAGGGCCGGGUCUGGGGGUUUAGUUUCUGCUUUUCUGCCGACUCGGUCACAGCCAUGAGUCUGCAGCUGCAGGAGGUGCUGACGCCUGAGCUCACUGUGCCAUCCCGCCUGGAGGACCACGCAGUCUCACGAGGAGUCUCACGGCAGCUUCUCAGAGACGCUGGUCGGAGGACACUUGACUACACAAGAGGCACUCCUGUUGGCUUUCCCUGGGGCCCUGGACCAAGUCCUCUCCCAUCGUUUCCGAGGGCCUCCAUCACUCGGGCCACUCUGGGUCCCAACAGGGGGUGAGGCCACCAUCACGGUGUCCCCAAGCCCACGUUUCACCCACCCUGCCUCUGGGGAAGGGACGCAAAGAGACAGGAUCUAAGUCAGGAAACACACAUCCCCAUGACAGAGGGAACCAGUUUCCUCCCAGAAUCGCCACCUUGGCAGCACACUGUGCAAGCCUGAGACCAGCUGGGCCCAGGGCCGGCUGGAAGAUGACCGGGACCCAGAAAGAGGGUGGCCCUCCCUGCGAUGCCGAGUCCCUGGGGCCGUGGGACCCUUGUGUGUUCGCUCAGGCCCAGAGCAGAGCCUGGCUGUGUCCACAGGCUGCAGGCGCCAUCCUAGGCCUCCCAGGGGGAAUCUUGGAUCUCUGGGCAUUUCAUGGAAACCAGCUUGGUCAAGAUAAGUGAUUUUUCAAACUACUGCUACUGAUAAUUUCCACCAUUUUAUUGGGUGGCUGCUACUUGUGGACCACCUGCUAAUUGUUUUACAUGCGUGAGGCAGGCACUCUCCUCGUCUGCUUUCUCCAGGUGAGGAAAUUGAGGAUCAGAGAGGUAAAUUAACCUGGCCAGGAUCACACAGCUGGUGAGUGGCAGCAGAGAAGGGAUUUGUACUCUUAGCCAUGACACUAGGUUGCCUUCUGUGUUCACUGUUUAAGCUUGAAAAGGUUUUUAGGUCUAAACGUGUAGUUGGGGGAAAGGAAAAACAAGAGAAUUAGCAUUAAAUUAACACCUUUAGUAAUACUAACAGCAGCACAUCUCAUUGACUCCUUGAGGCUCUUCUCUUCUCCUUCGCAUUUUAUCAUCUCUGAAACGUGGAUUCAUCUUGCAGUGCUCGUGUGUCUAGUUCAUGUCGGCCUGAGGGUCUGCUGGUUCACCCAGGAAUUUGGGCUGCUUUCCAGGCUCUGUGAGCUCAAGAAACAGCAGAUCACGAAGUCCAGGCCCUGACCUGGGGGCUGCUCGGGCCUUUUGGAAAGCAGGCCCCGAAAGACGACAUUCUCCUCUGGCCGUGGCAGACUUCCGUGCAUGGAAGUGUUUCCCGGAGCGCAAGGGACAAAGUCCCUGUGUCGGAGGGAGCAGGUCACCGCGCGACUCACUGGGACUCUCAGGCGCUGGGGAGGGGCUGCCGGCCGGCCCUGCUGGGCUCUGGCAGCUCACUGCUGGGUCCAAGCCGCUGCUUUGCCACUUACUAGCUGUGCGACUCGGGCAAGUGACUUCCGCUCCCGUGCCUCGGUUUCCUCCUCGGUAAGGUAACUCCUGUGGAAUAUCGCCUGGCACGCGGUGCGUGCUCCGUAAACCCAGUUGUCCUGAGGAUUCAUCGGGAGGACGUUCCCAGGAGAGCUCUUACCAGCCCAGGUGAGGAGCUCUUUUAAUGUACGAGUUCUAGCCUGUGUUUCUACAAGUUCGUUUCUAGAUCACGGACACGAGGGACCCAACUUUCCAGUUUGGGUCCCACUUCUACGAAACAAUGGCAUAAAACAGGAAGAAAAUGCAACCGACUAAGGAAACACCCUGGGCCCCGUGGACGCUGUGAGGGCUCUUGGACAAUCUGUGCUGUCCACGCCAGGGUUAAAUACACAGACUCGGGUCGUCAGUCGUUGGCUUUGAGUGCUGGUCUCUGUCCGGCAGUGAGCUCUCAGACAAGCUCCUCGGUGACCCAGAGUGUGAGAGGAGGAAGACCACUGACCUCGCCUCGGUGGGUCGUUGUGCGGCCAGUCCGUGGGCACGUGCCGGCACACAGUGAGCCCCGGAGCACUGGCCCUCAGGAUCGCUGUCAUUAUUAUUUGUCGCUAUUCCUCUUAAUGACUUAAUGAGACAGCGCGUGCACCACAGUGCCGGCACAGAGUGCUUCGUAAACGGUCGUCGGCAACAUCAUGACGAUUCUUAUUCUCUGCAGUGGGUGAGGUUGAGGCCACACGCUACCAUGUGGAUUUACAGAGCACAGGUGGCUGCAGAAGCUGGGGCUGGCCUGGUGGCGUAGCACUAAGUUCAGUUCACGCACUCUGCUUCGUAGGCCUGGGGUUCGCAGGUUCAGAUCCUGGGCGCAGACCUAGCAGCGCUUAUCAAGCCAUGCUGUGGCAGGAAUCCUGCAAAUAAAAUAGAGGAGGAUGGGCAUGGAUGUUUUCUUGGGGCCAAUCUUCCUCAAAAAAAAAAAAAAAGAAAAGAAAAGAAAAAAAAGGAGUGGCUGCAGAAGCUCAAAUAGCACGUCAUCCCACAGGAAAUGGAAAGUUCCACAAGGAAGGGCCUGGAAUUGGAACAGGCAUCUUGAGUUCACUCCCAGCCCCAUCAGGAGCGGGAUGGGUGCCCGCCUGGGAUUAGGAGCCCCCCCCACCUGGAGGGCCUCGGGCUUGUUCAUCGGGCAGGGCAGCCUGAGGAGGGUUAUCGCCCUGGAAGGAUGCCUGGCAUCCGAGCUGAGCCUGGGCGAGCUGCCCUGUGCCGAGGAUCCCUUGCCUGCCCCAGACAAAGCCCAGCUCCUAGCUCAGCCCACCUGGGGGCCUCCUCCCAUCUGGACCCCUGAUGCCUUGUCUCGCCCAGCUCAGACCCCCAAACUCGCUUGUCCUCUUCCUUCCCUGCCUCUCUAUGCAGUGACCUGCCACUCCCUCCUCUGUGCCUCCCUCAUGGUGCUACCUAGGCUAGGAGGGGUUUGCCUACAGCCUGGUCACCCUCCCUGGGCUGUGGGCUUCCAGAGGCUGGGGCUGCUGAGGCAAGGUCUCCCCACGGUGAGAGGGGGGCUCUGGAGCCAGGCCGGCAUCCAGGCGCAGCUGCUUCUCAACCGGUUCCCCUCAGCAAGUUCUGCUCAGAUCCUCAUUUUCCCUCUCUGUAGAAUGGAGAGAAUAUGCCCCGCUACCUCACCAGGUUGUGAUGAGAAUUAAGGAAUUUGAUACGUAUCAAGAGCUUAGAAUAUUGCUUGGCACAUAGUAACUGCUCAGUAAAUGCUGGCCGUUAUUGUUAUCGGCUGCAUUGUUAUUCCCAUCGGUACCCUCCAGAGUCCAGCAGGGGCUGGCACCGGGCAGGUGUGUGAUGCAAAUUAGUGACUUUGUGCCUUUCCAUCAGGAACCUCCAGAUGUUCACGACGAAAGGGUCUCUGGGUGGGGUUUGUGGGUGUUAGAACCAGGCUUCCGCGAUGUGCCGACUGUAUCUUGUCGGGGACCGCUGCUUCCCCAGGGUUCCCAAGGGCAUUUAGCUUUUCCUUCUCCCUUCCUCCGUCGCCCUCUUCUUUCUUCCCUGUCUCCCUCCCUUUCCUCCUCUUCUCCCCGCUCCUUUCUUUCCCUUACGAGGAGCAGAGCAGUGCUAGGAUGAUCACACGCAUCCUUGCGGGUAUUUCUGCUUCUAUUGUUGGGCUCGGUUUCUAGCACGAGACCUGAUCCUUUAAUGAAACCAACUAGCUGCUCUUAAGAAGCCCCAAGCUCUGCUGGCGCUCUGAGGAUGCUCGCCUAUCCGCCAUCAAAUGCUUUCUGUCCUAUUUUCCACGGGACACGUGGGUCCCAAACCCGCCCCGUGAACCCAUCUCUUACUGACUGGGGAACAUUUCUUUCAAGAAUACCAGUGACUUUGCCCCAGGGCCCUGUCCUCACCAGACAAACAAGGCGUCUGCUUAUGCCUUGGGCCGAGUGAGUCCUACGACUCAUGCAGAAUCCAAAGGCCCUGCCCCAGGAGGGGCACUGUGGGCGGUGAUGUCACGAGCAGCCAGAUGUCAGGAGCCUGGAUGCCUCAGAUGGCAAGCUUUGGAUUUUAAUUCUCCUUUGUUCCUAACAACUGGAAACCUUCAAAAGCAUUCAAUGAGGACUCAACCGGAAGACUUGAUAUUCACAAACAGGCUUUGAAAGCAAGCCCAGACCCAGUCACGACUUCCCUCGUGUGGAACGUGCAUGGAGACGGGCGCGUGGCGGUCGGGAUGAAGCAGAGAAGCUCUGGGAGGAGCCCAGCCUUCACCUUGGCGUUGACGUCUGUUCCCGGAAUCUCCAGGCUGACCCGCCACCGGGACCCCUGCGAGGAAGCCCGGAACACAGCUCUGCAGCCAGUUGGUGCCAGGUGUGAGUGUGACUUUACCACCUACCCAGCAGAGUGACCUUGAACAGGCCUCUUAACCUCUCUGAGCCUCAGUUUCCCCCUCUGGAACAUGGAACAGUAAUAGUACUUUCCUCCUACAGUGUUUCCGAGAGCUGGCACACGGUUAAGAAUAACUUGGGAAGAAACGAGAGACAAAAAAGACUAAGACAGCUGAUCCAAGGCCUCCACUGGCCAAUGGAAAUGCUCCUGGGAGAGGAAGAAGGAGACAGCCCACUGCAGGGUUGAAUUUGGAGGGCGCGUCCCAGGCGCUCAGGUAGGACAGCAGCUGUCUUCAUGUUUCCUCUGUGGGGAUGACUUAGCAGCAGGAGUGUAUCCAGCAAUGUCCUGGAGGCCAGCUGUCCACUGACAGAGGGACCAGCACUCAACAAGGCCAUGAUGUUCCAGUUCCGGAGCCGGAGCGUCAGGUGGGAAGGUGGCGCAGAUUGACAAGCGCACAAAACAGCUCUACAGCUGAACGGAUUACUACGGGAGAACAGCCCCGCAGCCCUGCCUGGAUGAAGAAGCAGAACUUGGCCUUCUGCCCUUGAAGACCCUCCGCAUAGGCCAAGUACAUUUAUUGAGCACCUGCUGCAUGCUGUCUCUGGGCUGGUGGCACACGGCCGAUGAGGCGCAGUCCCUGCUUUCACAGACUUCACCGUCCAUGAGGAGAUGGAACAUAACCCAGGAAGCAAAGGCGUGACCAGAAAUUGUGAUACCGCCAUGGAGGAAAUGGGUUUGGGGGAGAAUGUGCAAAGGGUCCCAGAGGUGGUGACAUCUGAGCUAAACCUGAAAGAGCAGAAGGAGCCAAUCAUGGGGCAGGAAGGGAUUCCGGGCAGAGAAGCCUUGACCAAAUGCCCGGGGGCAGGAAGCGGCACUGAACCAAGGCCGAUGUGUGGCGUUCGGUGUGGACAGAGGAGAACAGUGAGAGACGGCGUGGGGCCGCGGCUUUGGAGCGCAAGCCUAGGAACAAAGGGAGACCAUGGAAAGAGUUUAAGCAGGAGAGUCAAGCAAUACAGAGGAUUUUCUGAGAAGAUCAACUGCUGUGUGGAGGAUGGAGGGGAAAGAAGGACAGUGGGAAUGGGGGGCCAGCCAGGCAGCGGGUGUGCUCGUUCAGAAGAGGCGAUGCCGGCCUUGCCCAGGGGCCGGGGAGAAGUGAGGGCCUUUGGGUAGGUUUGGUGGUGG